CUGGACAAAUGGGAACGACUGACUGUGGCCGAUGCCCUAGAACCCGUCCAGUUUGAAGACGGAGAAAAAAUCGUGGUGCAGGGAGAACCAGGGGAUGACUUUUUCAUCAUCACGGAGGGUACGGCAUCUGUCCUUCAGCGCAGGUCCGCUAAUGAGGAGUAUGUGGAAGUUGGGCGGCUCGGGCCAUCAGAUUACUUCGGAGAGAUAGCCGUUUUGCUGAACCGGCCCCGGGCUGCCACCGUGGUGGCCCGCGGGCCCCUGAAGUGUGUCAAGCUGGACCGGCCUCGUUUUGAGCGAGUACUCGGCCCAUGUUCGGAAAUCCUCAAGCGGAACAUCCAGAGAUACAACAGUUUCAUUUCUCUCACUGUUUAAGUUCUUUCUGUCUGGGGUUUACUGCCUUUACGUUAAAACUUGUGCACUUAAAAAGAAAAAAGUUGACCCAUGCCGUUCCAUAGCUUUAUGAAGAAAACAGGAUGUGUUGCAUUUUAUGUAUUUUAUUUUGUUUCAAAUGUUCAUGUCGCUGGAUGUCCGAUUUUUAUGUACCAUUAAAGAGGGCAGACAACAGAGAUCUGGAAGCAUGUGGCUUUGGGGAGCCAUUGGGUUAAUUUAAAUUGCAUUCCAGAUGGUCACUCUCACCUGGACCCCAAAAUGUUGUACGUAAACAAAUAAUAAAUAAAGGCCACAGGGGUAUCUAGUGCAGCAUUGAUUUGAACAAGGUCUGCUAAAAAGCCAGCAACUAGUUUGUCAAACUGGAAAAAAAGAGAAGACAUAGCCUAUGGGGAG